UAGUUUUUGGACGACAGGGGCACC
rnacentral:miRNA from 1 species